rnacentral:rRNA from 1 species
CCCUUAGAUGUUCUGGGCCGCACGCGCGCUACAAUGAUGAAUUCAACGAGUUUAUAACCUUGGUUGAAAAGCCUGGGUAAUCUUUUGAACUUUCGUCGUGAUGGGGCUAGACCCUUGCAAUUAUUGGUCUCCAACGAGGAAUUCCUAGUAAACGCAAGUCAUCAGCUUGCAUUGAUUACGUCCCUGCCCUUUGUACACACCGCCCGUCGCACCUACCGAUUGAAUGGUCCGGUGAAAUCUUCGGAUUGAGACUUUGAUUUCUUCACGGAAAACGCUGGUUUAAAAAGUUGAUUAAACCUUACCAUUUAGAGGAAGGUGAAGUCGUAACA